AGUGAACGCUGGCGGUGUGCCUAAUACAUGCAAGUCGAACGAAGUGCCGCACGGGUGAGUAAUAUAUAGUUAAACUGCCCCACACCGAGAAACAACAGUAGGAAACGAAUGCUAAUACCUCAUAGUGUAGGAUGAGACUAUAUCGUAUCAGCUAUUUGGUAAGGUAAUGGCUGACCAAGGCUACGACGCGUAACUGGUCUGAGGGGAUGAUCAGUCACAUUGGAACUGAUACACGGUCCAAGCUCCUACGGGAGGCAGCAGUAAGGAAUAUUGCGCAAUGGGGGAAACCCUGACGCAGCAACGCCGCGUGGUGGAUGACACUUUUCGGAGCGUAAACUCCUUGUAUCAGGAAAGCGGUACCUGAUGAAUAAGCACCGGCUAACUCCGUGCCAGCAGCCGCGGUAAUUC
rnacentral:rRNA from 1 species